CGGCCUUAGUGGCGCACGGGUGCGUAACGCGUGGGAAUCUGCCCUUGGGUUCGGAAUAACUGGGAGAAAUUCCUGCUAAUACCGGAUGAUGACGUAAGUCCAAAGAUUUAUCGCCCAAGGAUGAGCCCGCGUCGGAUUAGCUUGUUGGUGAGGUAAAAGCUCACCAAGGCGACGAUCCGUAGCUGGUCUGAGAGGAUGAUCAGCCACACUGGGACUGAGACACGGCCCAGACUCCUACGGGAGGCAGCAGUGGGGAAUAUUGGACAAUGGGCGAAAGCCUGAUCCAGCAAUGCCGCGUGAGUGAUGAAGGCCUUAGGGUUGUAAAGCUCUUUUACCCGGGAUGAUAAUGACAGUACCGGGAGAAUAAGCCCCGGCUAACUCCGUGCCAGCAGCCGCGGUAAUACGGAGGGGGCUAGCGUUGUUCGGAAUCACUGGGCGUAAAGCGCACGUAGGCGGCGAUCUAAGUCAGAGGUGAAAGCCCGGAGCUCAACCCCGGAAUUGCCUUUGAGACUGGAUUGCUUGAACGUCGGAGAGGUGGGUGGAAUUCCGAGUGUAGAGGUGAAAUUCGUAGAUAUUCGGAAGAACACCAGUGGCGAAGGCGGCCCACUGGAC
rnacentral:rRNA from 1 species